rnacentral:rRNA from 1 species
UGGGGAAUAUUGGACAAUGGGCGCAAGCCUGAUCCAGCAAUGCCGCGUGAGUGAUGAAGGCCUUCGGGUUGUAAAGCUCUUUCGCCUGCGAGGAUGAUGACGGUAGCAGGAGAAGAAGCCCCGGCUAACUUCGUGCCAGCAGCCGCGGUAAUACGAAGGGGGCGAGCGUUGUUCGGAUUUACUGGGCGUAAAGGGCGCGUAGGCGGCGAUGUAAGUCAGGCGUGAAAGCCCCGGGCUCAACCUGGGAAUUGCGCUUGGGACUACAUUGCUGGAGUUCGGGAGAGGAGCGUGGAAUUCCCAGUGUAGAGGUGAAAUUCGUAGAUAUUGGGAAGAACACCGGUGGCGAAGGCGGCGCUCUGGACCGAUACUGACGCUGAGGCGCGAAAGCGUGGGGAGCAAACAGGAUUAGAUACCCUGGUAGUCCACGCUGUAAACGAUGUGUGCUAGACGUUGGGGAGCCUAGCUCUUCGGUGUCGCCGCUAACGCUGUAAGCACACCGCCUGGGGA